GAAUAUUGGACAAUGGGGGAAACCCUGAUCCAGCCAUGCCGCGUGUGUGAAGAAGGCCUUCGGGUUGUAAAGCACUUUCAGUUGGGAAGAAAAGUUGUCGGUUAAUACCCGGCAGCCUUGACAUUACCUACAGAAGACGCACCGGCAAACUCCGUCCCAGCAGCCGCGGUAAUACGGAGGGUGCAAGCGUUAAUCGGAAUUACUGGGCGUAAAGCGCACGUAGGCGGUUUGUUAAGCAGGAUGUGAAAUCCCCGGGCUCAACCUGGGAACUGCAUCCUGAACUGGCAGGCUAGAGUGUAGUAGAGGGUAGUGGAAUUCCUGGUGUAGCAGUGAAAUGCGUAGAUAUCAGGAGGAACACCGGUGGCGAAGGCGGCUACCUGGACUAACACUGACGCUGAGGUGCGAAAGCGUGGGGAGCAAACAGG
rnacentral:rRNA from 1 species